GACGAACGCUGGCGGCGUGCUUAACACAUGCAAGUCGAACGGAAAGGCCCUGCUUUUGUGGGGUGCUCGAGUGGCGAACGGGUGAGUAACACGUGAGUAACCUGCCCUUGACUUUGGGAUAACUUCAGGAAACUGGGGCUAAUACCGGAUAGGAGCUCCUGCUGCAUGGUGGGGGUUGGAAAGUUUCGGCGGUUGGGGAUGGACUCGCGGCUUAUCAGCUUGUUGGUGGGGUAGUGGCUUACCAAGCCUUUGACGGGUAGCCGGCCUGAGAGGGUGACCGGCCACAUUGGGACUGAGAUACGGCCCAGACUCCUACGGGAGGCAGCAGUGGGGAAUAUUGCACAAUGGGCGGAAGCCUGAUGCAGCAACGCCGCGUGCGGGGUGACGGCCUUCGGGUUGUAAACCGCUUUCGCCUGUGACGAAGCGUGAGUGACGGUAAUGGGUAAAGAAGCACCGGCUAACUACGUG
rnacentral:rRNA from 1 species